UCAAAUUAUUCCUCAUUUGUUCUUAAGAAUACUUGGUUUCAUAGAAGACAUUUAAGUUGAAUCAUGCAAGGCAAACUAUUCAGUUCUGCCAUCACUUGUUUUCUUCUUCCUUUUUCUGUUUCCCGUUUCUCCUGAAAGCCCAAAUUUUUUGUGUACCAUCUCAGUCCUUGCUUUUCAAGGGAGUUCUUUGUCAUCUGAAAGUACAAGUUGCCUAAUGGAUGCAAAUUCUGCAAAAUGGUUUUUAGAUUAUAUUUGUGAACUGUCUUUGAGCAUUUUAGAUCAUGAGCGAAACUUCAGGUACACCACUGCUUUGUAUAUUGAGAAGUGAAGAAAGAUUCCUUCUCUUCCUCUUAUCUAUGUGUCUUUUGGAAGCACAAAUGGUUAUGCAUUCCCAAUAUAUAUAUAUAUUUUUAUUAGUAGGAAACUGGUUCCAUUUUAAAUUGUAUGAGAGCUGAAAAUUCUAUGCAGGUUUGCUCAUUUUAUUAAUGUAUACACUAUUUUUGUCUCCAACAUCUCAGUGUCAUUUGAAUUUUGAUAGACUUUCAAUGUGUCUUCUUUGAUGUAUUGCACCAUUCCCUUUAGUCAAUCACUGUUGUAAAGUUUCCUUCUGAUCUGAUGCUGAUGAUAUAUGUAGAUUUCAAGUGGAAAAAUUUCAAGAUGUCCUUUGUGCAAGGGUAGUUUUGUAAGCAUCACUAAAGUGGAGGAUGCAGCAACCUCUGAUCAGAAAAUUUACUGUCAGACUAUUCCUUGUGCCUCCUCAACAACAGAUAUUUUCUUAUUAAAUGAUCAAGAAAGAUGCAGAUUCGGUGCUGAGUCUUCAUUAGCAUCAGUUUGUGGUGAAUGCUGUUACCGGGAACCUGAGGAUCUUCUAGUUAGCUGUCAUUUCUGCCAGAUUCGAUAUAUUCAUAUAUACUGCCUGGACCCUCCUCUGUUACCAUGGAACUGCAGUCACUCUAAGGAUCUCCAAAGGCUUUAUUAUCAAGCCAGAGGAUUUGUUUUGCAGGAAUUCAUCGCUUACACUGCAAGAAUAUUCAUUUCUUAAUCUUAUACAUGUAGCAUUUUAGCUUCAGUGCUCCUCAUGCAGCUUUAAUCCGAAUAAAAUCACUGAAUAAACGGUUCUGCUUCUCUUUGCUUUAACAGUCAUUGCUAGUACCAGCUGUUGAAACUGCUCAUAGCUGUUAAACCAACAUUUGACUCAUUAACUCUUAGUGCCUACCCUUUUUUGUGACUAAGGCAGUCAUUUAGAUGUUCUAUAUUAUUCCUAUUGUUGUCUUCAAAAUGUCACUUUGCUUGUUUAUGACAUUAUUCUUUUCCUC